rnacentral:rRNA from 1 species
CCUACGGGAGGCAGCAGUGGGGGAUAUUGCACAAUGGGGGGAACCCUGAUGCAGCGACGCCGCGUGGGUGAAGAAGCGCCUCGGCGCGUAAAGCCCUGUCAGCAGGGAAGAAAAUGACGGUACCUGAAGAAUAAGCCCCGGCUAACUACGUGCCAGCAGCCGCGGUAAUACGUAGGGGGCAAGCGUUAUCCGGAUUUACUGGGUGUAAAGGGGGCGCAGACGGCGAUGCAAGUCAGGAGUGAAAGCCCGGGGCCCAACCCCGGGACUGAUCUUGGAACUGCGUGGCUGGAGGGCAGGAGGGGCAGGCGGAAUUCCUGGUGUAGCGGUGAAAUGCGUAGAUAUCAGGAGGAACACCGGUGGCGAAGGCGGCCUGCUGGACUGAAACUGACGUUGAGGCCCGAAAGCGUGGGGAGCAAACAGGAUUAGAUACCCUUGUAGUC